rnacentral:rRNA from 1 species
CCUACGGGUGGCAGCAGUGAGGAAUAUUGGUCAAUGGACGAGAGUCUGAACCAGCCAAGUAGCGUGAAGGAUGACUGCCCUAUGGGUUGUAAACUUCUUUUAUAUGGGAAUAAAAUGUUCCACGUGUGGGAUUCUGUAUGUACCAUACGAAUAAGGAUCGGCUAACUCCGUGCCAGCAGCCGCGGUAAUACGGAGGAUCCGAGCGUUAUCCGGAUUUAUUGGGUUUAAAGGGAGCGUAGGUGGUUGGUUAAGUCAGUUGUGAAAGUCUGGGGCUCAACCAUAGAAUUGCCGUUGAAACUGGCAGGCUUGAGUGCAGUAGAGGUAGGCGGAAUGCGUGGUGUAGCGGUGAAAUGCUUAGAGAUCACACAGAACUCCGAUUGCGAAGGCAGCUCAC